CGAAGAGCAAUAACACGAUAUGCACGUCGUGGUGGAAAAAUAUGGGUACGUAUAUUUACCGACAAACCAGUUACACUAAGACCCACAGAAACACGUAUGGGCUCGGGAAAGGGGUCCCCCGAAUAUUGGGUAUCCGAUGUUAAACCUGGUCGUAUACUUUAUGAAAUGGGGGGAGUAUCUGAAACUGUAGCUAGAGUAGCUAUCUCCAUAGCUGCCAGUAAAAUGCCCAUACGAAGUCAAUAUUGUUGCUUCUAG
rnacentral:rRNA from 1 species